rnacentral:ncRNA from 2 species
GCCGCGGGCCGUGACUGGCGCGCUGGGAUGGGACCGACCAUCGGGGAGCGGCCCGAGCGACGAGUGCCGUGCGCCUGGGCCGUACCG